CUGAAUUUGCUUACGAAUUACCUUUAGUAAAUACCAAAAUUGCAAUUUUUGCCAAAAAUCUGAGAUUAUGCCCAGAUUAUACAAUUUUAAUGCACGUUCAGAGCUUUUAUACAUCCUUUUGCCGUCUGAUUUGUGCUAUGGACAAAGAUAAAUGUGGAAAAUUAUGUAAAACCACCUGGUUGUAAAUUAUAAUGUUUGCAGUACCAAUUCCAUUCACACUAUCCCAUACGGCAUUUCUGCUUAAGCAACACUUUCUCUGCAGGACCCUCUGCAUGUUUAGUCAUGCUUGGCAGGUAUGGCAUAGACAAAUGUUUAAGUGGGAAUGGUGCAACUGCAAGUCUCACAAAACUCUCUCCUUAAACAUCUGUUUUUGAUAAAACUAUAUUUCCCUACUUCUUUAGCCACACUUUAGCAUUGAAUAUCAUUAUAUCCUAUAAUGGAUGAACCGGUUAAAAUUAUCUACCCUGUGGUUCCAUACAGAUGCAUUGAUAUCAUGUAGAGAUGUUACUGGGAGGCUGUACUGGGCUCAAGCCCUGGGUGGGGUCUGUAAGGACACCCUCUGACUCUGACUCUUAUGCAUCAAAAUGUUACCAUCCUCCCCCCUGCAGAAGCGUCAAUUUGUGAGAAGACUUACCAAUAUUGAUGCAUCAGCAUCAUCUUCACAUUGCUCUCCGCCUACCAGGCAGUCAAUCUGAAGGGUCGCUUACUGAUUUUGGUGCACGCACGUCAAUUUUUGACAAACUGUUGCAUCUAGGCGCAAUGUCAUUUUCAUCAGGUCACACGUGUCAUUCUGUCCUCAAUCUGUCCUAAAAUGAGGUGAGACACAAUCUUCCUGCCAUUAAUCCAUUAUUAGACGGCGUCCCGUUUGACGCACUGCACCUGCACAAGAAUGAUAAAAUCUGACACAAGGGUCCUGGUCCUGUUUAAACUACUCUAGCUUUUGGGCCUGUGCCCUUUUGUGGUCUCACGGCCCUUAAGUAAGUUCGUCAUUCCUGGCCAUUUGAUCCAGGCCCAGCUUGUCAUUGACUUAGAUUUUUCCGUCCUAUAUUCAAGUGUACCAGAGCAUCCCUUACUUUGUUUAUUGCCUUAUUCCAGUAUUCAAGUGUACCAGACACCGUUUGUCCUAGCUUUGCACAGUCUUAUCCAUUAUUUUGUAAGUGUUUAGCACUGAUACUUCCUAUUUAUGUCUAAGCAUUAAGCCCGGCCACUCUUAAGGUCCGGUAAUAUGCCUAUCUAUCUUUUCCCAUUGUGCCUUUGGUAGGUUGAUGACUUAAAUCUUGCAGAGGAUCCUAUCAUACCCUGAUAGGGUCCUGUAAAGCUCCUGGUCUGAUUUAGGCAUCUUUUCAUUGUUAAUCCCUACUCGCCUGUAAUAAAAAAAUAAAAAAAAAAAAAGGAAAUAGCAGCUCCGAUCACAUAAUAGGUGACCAUGCCACUGUAAUGCACCAUAUGUGAAAUUAAUUGUACAGCAUAGUGUGGAGAUAUUGCUGUGGUUGCAGGGUGCUAAUGCAGUGGGUUGAAGGUUAAUGCUUGGAUUAGCAAAUCUUUGAGGGGCCAGGGUUAACAUAGCACGGUGUGAUGUUCAAGGUGCAAGUGUGGACUUUAUGAAUAUAGUUUUUAUAGAAUGCUUUCAAUUCAUGCAAAGACUUGAGGUCAUAAUGAGAUUCAUAGAACAUGUUUUGGUUUAAGAUUGGACAUAGGGCACGGUUAGAUUAUAAACUCAAGAGCCAUCUAGCUUAGUAUGUUGUACAAACGGGCUGUAAAUGCUAAAUCUCAGCUCGCAGGCAGGGUCGUCUAUUCUGUUUCUAUUGGUUAUCUAUAAUGCACCACGAAAAGGGUAUAAUGAGAAUGGAAGAAGUAGUAGAGAAGAUAAAAAUUUGUGGGAGGACUUUAUGCAAGGUAGAUUGUGAAUAAGGAUUUUUACAUGUUUUUGAAAGAAAAGACUUUUAAGAUUUUAUCAAGACUUAAAUUGGUCAAAUUAACCCCACUUUGUAUCUAACCUGCUUUUAAAACAUAUUUUUAAUAUCUUCUAAAGAUGUCCUAAGGUGGUUUGCAUCUUCUCCCAUCAUGCUGUAUACGCAAGCAUACGUACACCUCUCCGUAAUUUAUUGGCACUUUAUAAAUAUAAUAAUGAGGGGGCUUAAGUCAAUAUAUGUGGGUUGUCAUACAAUUUACCCUAGGGUUGUCACCUCUUUUAUUUUUCCCACACAGCAACACCCCUUUUAUUAUGUUAUUUCGUCCACAGAGUUCUCGUGCAUGGGGAGGGCCUCCAGAACCUUUGGUCUACUGUUAGUCUCGUUACAUUGGCACUGAUUGCUUGUUUGAACUGUUUAGUUUCACAGGGAUUCUAUGCAUCAUAUUUUGUCCUUUUUCAGGGUUCCAUCUUGAACAUUGCAAUCUUUUCCUGCACAUUUGUAAAGAUUAAUUUAGUACAUUUUGCACCCAUGUAAAUGAGGUGCCUUGAGAACCUUCGUUGUUUGAUCCUAUCAUGAAUCUGUUAUAUAGUUGGUUUGCAAUUGUGGUCACUUAAUUCUAGUUAUAUCCUAUUUACAUUACUUGUGUUUUUAAGCAGAACUUCAACUAUUGCAUAAAAGCAAGAUACGUUCCCCUUGGAAGCUCCAGUACCAACAAGUCAGAGUAGAGUAAGGAAUAGUCAACACAAAAAUGCGUGAUCCCAAGGACCAACUCCUUUAUCCAUGGAGACUGGAUUAAAAACCCUGGAAAUAAAAGUCAGAUUUUUCUCUCCAGAUGUUGUGUACUACUUCUACCAUAAUGCUCUUACAGCAAUAAUGCUAGGGAAACAUUGGGGAGAUCUAGUCCACAACAGCUUGAGUGCCAUCUUGUAGAGGAACUUGAUCACCAUAAUCGUUCUACUUGGUAUUAGACCAACAUACCAGAACUACAGUUGUUCUUCCCAGUGCUGGUAAGGACCCAGACCUCUGACCAACCUGUAUACCAGGGAUAGGCAACCUUCGGCACUCCAGAUGUUGUGGACUACAUGUUCCAUGAUGCUUUACCAGCAUUGUGGCUGUAAGAGGCUUGUGGGAGGUGUAGUCAAAAACAUCUGCAGUGCCGAAGGUUGCCUAUCCCUGCUGUAUACCAAUCUAAUGAUUGUUGAUAUCAAAUUGUUUGUUAAAAACUAUACUUAUAUAUUCUUCACAAUCAGGUUGGGUUUCUCACUGUCCUCGAAACCAGGGAUAACACUGUGAAAAUAUUAAACCUUUUUCACAAAGCGUAUUCUGCUAAAAUAUUGUCUGUUCAUUUGAUCACAUGCAUUACACAGGCAGAUCUUGGUAUUCAUAAGCUUCACACAGCCUCAUGAACAUUCUUAUCACGUUCAAAUUGUCAUUCUACUCUCUGUGCCCUUUUAAGGGGAACCAUAGAAGGAACCAUAGGAAGAGGGCUGAUGAACCAAGGCUGAUCAGUUUGCCCAUAUCUUGGCUAGAACCUGAAAGCUGUAUAAUCCUCCAUACAAACAGCUUACUAAUCAAUAUCUCUGUCACCGUACAGAACAAAUGUUCUAACAGAGGUUCUCUGGUUUGGAUAAAAUGAACUAACUGAUGAAAUAAUGUUUCCCUGGGAGCUUACACACGUCUUUAUGUAUUUUUGAGAUGUGAUGAAAUAUAUGCAUUUUUAGAUACAAAUAUCAAAGAUUUUGCCUACUUAAUAAUAUGUCUACCAAACUGAUAUAUUAAUUGUAUAGCUAAUUUAGCUAAUACAAGCAUCUUCUUACAAUACAGCAUAGUACUUUUAACCUUGUAAGAUUCACCAAGCUUUGUUCAUAUAAAAUCAGUGUUUUCAGUCCCCUCUACCUUAAUCUCUAUUCAUUAUUUUAUUUAAAAAAAAAUUUAAUUCUUUAUUUUUGUCAUGCAUAAAGAUAUACAACAUAUCUGCCAUGCCUCAACAGCAUUAGCAAUCAUUUUAAGAUCUAUGACAUUGUAAGGUACAUGACAGAACACUGCAAGUCAUUCGAAAGAGCAUGCACAAAAUGAUUAAAGUAUUGAUGGAUUUAAUAGAGUAGUACUCAAACUAUACUAUGUGUGUCUGGUCAGAAUGCCUGGGUAAGCUAGGAAACAUAUAGUAUGACAGACACAGAGAUUAGAACACCUAAGAGGUGCCCAGAUACUUGUAACGUUUCAAGUUAUAUAAGUAGAGUGUGCCUAUCUAACGGCAUUGAGCUGACGAAUCACAAGAAAUUUUAAAUCAAAAGAGGAAACCAUAACUAUAAAAACAAUAAAAUGGAUAUCGACAGUGGAGGUGUCAGGCAAUGUUAAUCAGGCGUGUUAAUUAGAGGGAGAAUAACGCCAGCUGGUAGGAGUCCAGGUUUCGGAUCAGCCGAUGUCACUUUGGGGCUUAGCAGAGUGUUUUCGCAAAUCGGUUAUCAGGCACAUGAGCCCGAUAGUGGACCAUGGUAGUACCGUAGUGGAGUGUAGCGAUGAGCCCAGUUGUGACCCAAGAGGUACCUCUAGAAUGCCAGUCUGUCGGGAUAAUGCAGGGUUGAUCCCACGCCUAAGCUGACUUGUAGCUAGGCUACGCCCAGCUCCUGACGACUUGUGGUGGAUUAGACGUCUCCUCCAUUCUUGGGUUCACCUCUGUCCUGUAGCAACAUGCUGCUGGGGAUGCCGCAGGAACUUUUGAGUGGACUGGGUUUGCUUCUCUGGGACGUUGAAUCGUUGCUGGUGCUCACUGACCCUGUUCUGCAAUCUCUUCCAGAAGUCAGCAAAUAUUGUGUUCAACCUGGCUUCAUAUUCAAGUUGUGCAAUCCUGGGGUUAACGAGACACGCGGUCUCAGCCAUAUUGGAUGGCUUCUACAACUUUGAAAGGUUCGUACACCUGACUUGUUGAAUCUCGGUCGUCUCUCAGGUGUGGACCGGGGUCACCCCCACCGGUCCAAAAGGAGGGGGUUAACGGGGAUGUUGCUUGAAAGUGGUUGCUCCUGUGCAUCUCCCUCCCUGGUUGCACUAGGCCACUUCUGCCACGAUGUGAUAACAAAGCUCUUGACAAGGUGAAUACUGCUGCCCAACUUGUCAGGUAAGUCAGGAGUGCAAUUGCUUCACUCGACUUAUCGUGGUUUAGUUUGGUGAAGACACAAAAGACUAUUUCCAUCAAUAUAUUGGAGGAGUUCAUUCACAACGCGUCUCUCCACCAUGACAGUCAGGCCCCUCCCCCCUUAAUCACUUUUCUUAAUCACAGAUUAGUUAUUCUUUCCCAAUUCAUUUAAUUUAAAUUCAAGACCUGUAUCCUUUUAUCACAAGUCUUCCUUAGAUCUUUCAUGCCAAAGUCAGAUAACAAGGGAGUACACUGCUUCUUUUCUGUAUUCAAUAAUAUCUUUAUUAAGCUUUAAAGAUAUUCUAAUUAAUGUUCCCCAACCGAUCCACAUCUAAGUUACUGUUUGGAAUUACAUAAUACUAUUUGUUCACUGUAGUAGUUAUGGUACUAACCAGCCCUUGACAUCUCCCUUCAGUUCUGUGUCAAAAAGUUUCUGAGCAGUUUUACACAAACCAAGGAUCCACAGGGCACCUAUUGUCCAUUUUUUAUUUGGCAUAUUGCUAUUGGUGAAGUUAUGCUUUCGCGUUAGCAAUACAAAUUUUUGCCCAAAUUUCGACAGCCUUCAUUGGUCAAGCGUAGCUGUAGUGAUUAUGACACUUAGUGUGUCCUACAAAUGUAAAUUUUUUUACAACAAUAUGUACACUUUAAUUUGAAGAAUAUGUGGAUGAGAUAAUAGCACAAAGGACAAACCCUGAAUUUAUUAUCAUGUAUGUUACAUUGUCGCAUAGUUGUCUAGGUUGAAAAAAGACUGCAGGUUUAGUUUGAAUUUUAAAAGACUGAAUACACAAUGUAAUUAAAUUUUAAAAUUGACUAUUCAAAUGUGUGUUGAAUAGUCAGUAUAAUACAUGGUAAAUAUUUGUGGAGUUGCUGGAUCUCCUAAAGACAAAUAUCAUAGGAUUAUUGUCCAAUUUUUUUCAUCCCUCUUUCUAUCAUAAUAUUCUCCUUAAUUCCACUGUUAAUGAAUGUUAUCUCCUUUACUAGCCAGUAAAUAAUGAUUUUUUUUAUUUAGGUGAGACAUUAUACCAUACAAUAAAGCAUAGCUUGGCAUAAUGAUAAACAAAGACAUAUGUGUAUGCUUCGAUCUGUACCCUUUUUCUAAUAGUUAAAGAAAAUAUGUUUAACUUUUCUAAGAGAACAGUGAGUCCUGAACCCAACUUUACGCUAAUGUUGCAAUAAGUGACGUUGAGUCAUGUCUUUUACAUGGUUCAUAGUGCACCUUUACAUAUGAACAAGGACUUCACUGUGAUUUUCUACCUUUACAAAGGGGACUGCUGGGGGGAGGCAAAAUAUAUAUUACUGAUUUUGGCAUUCUUCACACUUGGAAAUUAGGUUGAUGAGUUGAUGUACCGCAAAGGGGGGACUAAGGUAGCCUAUGUGCCACCUUUCUAACAACAAAGAAAAUUAAAUAAAAUUAAAUUAACUGACAUUAAGUAAGAAAGGGAAAAUAAUAGUUGGAAUGAGGUCCACAAGACUAAGUCUUUUCCACCCCUUGGGACAAAACUAACCACUGUAUUUAUGUCCCAGGUUUGUGUAGUAGAAGAGCCUCUGGGAUCCGGAGGUUAGGUGGAAAGGCCCAAAUGCCCAAAGCAAAGAUGUGGCCUCUUUGGAGAGGACAGUUGAAGUACCCAACUGUCAGUGAUCUUGAUGCAGUCCAAGAGUAGGCCACUCUAGCUUUUCAAAGUUGUCGAGUGACUUGACCCAGCGAUCACCUUUGGAGAAUGGAUCUGGGCAAGUCCUGGUAGAAGGUGAGAUGGAAAGAUUAAAAAACUUUUGGGGUCUUGUCCUGUAGAGCAGCCAUGAGUAAUUUUGGCAUUGGAGUAUAACAUUGCGAGUGGCAGACGAUGGAGCUCUUGGUGUUUUAUUAAUGUAGUAUGUCUAUCAAGCACAAUUUUUUUUAAUUUUUUUUUUGUAGAAGGUAUGAUAGAUGCUGUGAGGCUCCUAACAUAGUGUGGUUAUUCUUCUGUAGCUAUUAAAUCAGAGAUGCCUCUGAUUUUGAUAUUGGCCCAUCUUCUCCUGUCAUAGAGCGUGUGUAUCUGCUGGGCAAGUGCACCCACAGGGCAGGUGCAGUCUGCAUUGCCUGAACCUGCUGCAGAGAUUCCCUCAUCAAGGUCAUGUCCUGUCAGAUAUCAAUAAUGUCUUCCUGGGAGACUUGGAGUCUGACAGUCACUGCCUGGACAUCGUAUUUAACUAAUUCUAGACCUGCUGCAAACAACUUUUAAUGUGCAACAAUAUAUUUUGUAUGUCUUGCUUUGUUGCUGGUGCAUCUCCCUCUGCCAGUAGGGAUGGGAAGAAUGUUUUUACUUGAUGUGUAGGCAUCAUGUUCCCACGGGAAGUUAUCUUAGAAGCAGCAUGGCGCUGAAACAAAGUACCUAUGUCUCUAUUGUCAGUGGAUGUAGAUGCCUAUGGAUUUUGAGAUCCAUGGCCCAUUAUGUUUGAAUUGGGAGAUUGAUAGUAACCUGCAAACCGGGAGCACGCUGCUCCCUGCUGAAAGGAGAGAUAAGCCUCAGAUCGGGAGGAGCUAUGACGUGCCUCUUGAGGGGUAGAAAAAAGGCACCUAUCAAUUGUGCACCCCUGCAGGGCAGAUGCUCAUAAUAUGCCAUUGGAAUAAUUCGGCCACAUCUUGGUAAUCUGUGUUUUCUCCGGUGUAUAUCAAGAGCACUGUAAAAUGUCGUCCACUCAGUACAGAUUCUUGGCUUUUCGCCCCCCCCCCCCCCAAGAAUAAUUUAUUAUUCAAGAGAAUAAUUAAUCUGAAAUUGGAACUAGGUGCAUCCCAUUAGGUAUAAUAGUAUCUCACAUUUAUACAAUAAAUUGAAAACAAAACAAUAUAGAAUAUUAUAAAAAAAAACAACAGUGUCAGAUUAAUGAAAAACAAUUACUAAGAAAAAUAAAAAAAACAGAUUUAUUAUAGGUUUCUCAGCUGUGUGACAGCAGAGGAGAGAAAUACACAACGUGGCAUUCAAAUACUGCUAAGAAGGUACAUUACUCAAAAAUUAAAUAGCAGAUUAAUGAGUUUCGCAACAUCAUCGAAUAGCCCCGUAUAAAGUCAGACAUUUAAUAACCUACAUAAGUGAAAGAUGAGGGAAUAAACAAUGUAAGCACAACUAUAAAUUACAUAACAGUUAGUCUAGAUAUGGCAUAAUGUGUGAAAGCGUGAAUAUGUAUAGUAAUUGCAAAGGAUGUUAGAGAUUGCAUAUGUCACCUGGACAAAUAGCGUACAUUUGUGUGCACUCCUGUGAACAUUCUAGAAUAUUUUGCUUUAAAAACUGUUUGCCUUUAUCACUUUCUGUUGUGCUACUAUGUAACACAAUUACUGUUGUCAGUGCUAUGUGUUUGGUGGUUACAGCAUUCUAUUUUAGUUCUCAAUUUUAUUUUUGCAUCACACGUUUCUUGUUCCAGAGGGGUCUGAACUGCAUUAUAAGCGCUUUUUGAUAAGGUGAUAGAUUAAGUAGCCAUUUUAUAUGUAAGGAUAUAUCAAAUCUAUAUUUUAAACUUGGGUUAAAAGAAAAGAAUGCUAUUUUAAGGGGUUUUGAGUGAAUAACAAUAACAGGUAUAUUGAGACGUUUAUAUUCAGAUCUACAAGCUAUGGUUUUAAAGUUUACAUGACACAAUAUUGUCUAAUGCAGUCAUAAUUAUAUUGCUUAUAUAAUCUAUAUGAAGUGCUCUUGCGCUCAUAGGAAAGCUGUGCUGUACUAUUCUUUGUAGUCAUAGCCGUAUCUCUCAGACCUUUUUAUUUUUAAAAGAAGUACACAGGGGAAGAAUCUAUUUAUCAAUGUAUAAGGGAACAUUGACCCCCCCUAUCAUCUUUCUUAUGGGAGCAGAAUUAGGUGGUCUCAGAUAAAAUACCAGGUCUGUCCUCACAUUAUGUUGCAUAAGUCCCUCAUCUGUCUUCCCAAUUUAAAUUUUAAACUGUUGCUGUGCUCAUUUCAUUGUACUGGCUCAUUACUGUAGCUAUAACUCUGCCUCUGGUUCUUUCAUGUCAAAGGAGGACUUGUACUUCCCUAUUUGCCAGUCAAAAUAUGUGCAACCUGUCUAUGUAACAUUCACAUGCCAAGCAUAAAUCUACCCUCCUGUCUUCUGCAGUUUAGCAAAAAGUCUCCCUCAAACAUUUUAAAACAUUUAUCUAAAUAUUACAUUAAAAGGGGGAAGAGGGCACUUCUACUCCCACAGUGUCCCAUUAAUAUGUUGUACCAUUAUAUUAGAUACCUAUGGCAUAAAAGGUUGUGAAAUUGGUCUCUGUAGUUGGCGUAGGGAAGGCUCUCUCAAUCAUCCAUGUCUUAAAAAAUACUUUUAUUUACUUUUUUUAAAUGUAUUCUUUGUGAUAUUUUGUUGAUACAGCUGACUAUUAUAUAAAAAGCAAUGCUCUUGCUAAAGAUCGUGUUUAUUUUUAAAAAUUCUUUAUUUAUAUCUUGGCACAAUACGCGAUGACAACUCCAAAUAACAAUGAGACAAGUAGAGUGUCCAAGGCAUUUAAAGUUUUUAGAGAACUCAAUAACAUUAUAAUGAAACCAAAAACAAAAAUGAUCCUAUCUCACUGCGAGUUGAAGCAGCAGACCCCCUUUACCGUACCUCAUAAGGUAGAAGUCUCACAGAGCUCCUGCACUUUAGCAUAUGACUUUCAAGAGUGUUAUGGCCAUUGUAUGCGAUCAAAAGCCUUCUCUGCAUCAGGAGAUAGGACUUAAGAUCAGAUUUCAUGAAAGUGUCCAUAGUAGGUCCCUGGGAGCUGUCAGGCCUCCUUAGUCUAAGCUAGCAUCGAGAGCAUGUGAAAUUGCAGGUGUUGUAGCUUUGUAAUGUGACCAUCAUCCACCACCAAUUAACUGGAUUUAACACUAGGUUGUAUUUUGCAUGUAGUUUGUCAACCCUUAUUAGUUGAAGAACAUCAUUGAUAAUUUUAAUGCAAUAAUGUUACCGUUCAUUCAGUGAUACAUUUGCAGUUUAUUGGGUUGGUUCUCUGCUACUAAUAGCACUGUUUCACUAAUCAGCUACUGGGUUAUAAAUUGAGAAUUUGGGCUUUAGCCCUAUAUUAAUCUAUUAUUUUGGUUUACUUCUUCGCCACUGAAUGUCUUGUCAUUAAAGAUCAUUGUUAUUUACAUAAUAGAAAAGAUCUGUACAUGCAGAGUAGAAGGUGUCUGCUUUUGGGACUAGCAGGGAAUGCCCAGAGCAUUCAAUAUGUUUUGACCCGUUUUGUCUUAUGACACAAGAGGCAUUGUUAACGUUCUAAAAUAAUACAAAAUAAAUAUUAAGAGGACUGCAGCAUACAGGGCUAAAACAGGUAAGGCUGUAGUGGAUAUCCAUGACCGUGAUUUCCCCCAUUCAGGUUUAGAUCAAAACAAAAGUGGCUGGUAGAGUUUCAAAUGUUGGCUACAAUGAUGAAAUCCUAUGUUACUGAAUAUUCUUGUAACAUAAAUGGUCAGUGGUGUAUGAUGCUUAUAUUGCAAAGAGGAAUCAACAUGAUGCUAUUAAUUUGAAAGGAUUUUUUUUUUUUUUUUUACAAAAUAUCGUUAGUAGUAGUAUACUACUUAUUUGUUAUUACUAUUUUCCAUGCAAGACAAUAAAGGCACAGUCUCCUGGUAAACAAUAUAAAUCUCCUGCUAUCUUGUUAUGGUGCGCAAGUGUACAAGCACACAUGCAAACACACAAAAGACUGUUGGGCAUCAUCAAAGUAUCCGGAGAUUUGAAUUUCAAGUUAAUGAAUUUAAAACAGUGUAGAGUUUAUCUAUCACUUUGUUACCACUAAAGUCCAAUCAGAGAUGGGCCACUGUUGGUUUUCACAAAGACUAUCCAAUCUUCGUAGAAUUAUUCACGAAAGGAAAUGUUUUUUCUAUGAUCUUAUUUUUAGAGUCAAUAAUCUCAAAAGAAUCUCAUCAACACCUCUUACCUGGAACAACGUACUAAGGCGGUGCACAUGGAGACUGGACAUGUCAACAGACACAAAUUUGUACAGUAUAUAACCGUCUGUUAUCUAUUCUCUCUGCCUAGCAUCCUCCUUUGGAGCAGCCAUACAUUUUUGGAGGACAUACAAAUGUCCCCUUGAUGCUUCUUUGAUACAUUACCCUGAAUCAAGAUUACACGUCAAACAAUACAUUCAGAUAACACUAGUACCUUCAGUUCUUUCUCUUUAAUUCCCCAGUCCUUACUUUCUCUGCACUAAGCUUGUUGUUAGCUUAUUUUGUCUGUUGCCAGCCUUGACAUUUGGCCUGUUGUUGCUCAACCUGUAUUUCCAGAACUAAUCUCCAGCUUAUGUAAGAGUCCUAGACCUUGCACAAAUUGGCCUGAAUUUUUAACUUUGUACCAUUGCUUUAUUUUCCCAUCUUAUCUGGUGCUUGUCCCACCUAUUCGUUUGACUCCAGACUUGCCCGUGAUUACACCAAAGUGCCAGAAAAGUCCCAGUGACCACUAUAUUCAUGGGCUCAACUGGCAAGGUCAAGUGGGUGCUUUAAGUAAGGACUUUCUAAAGUGCCAGUACAUAGACAAGCUUAUCUUUGCAUAGCUAUAUCCAGAUCCCCUCUACUAUUGUAACAAUAGUAACCCCCUUAGAUGCCAGACAGCUCAAAAAGAUCUCAAGAGAUCUGAGGGGAUAUUAUUUCACUUGCGUAUAUAAAUAAUCUUUCUAUACCUCUUCCUAUCCAGAGGUAGGUAAACACUUACAAGUACUUUGUUCCUUUAUAGGUACAUAAUAUUUUAAUGGCAAUAAUGUGUCUUCUUGGUAUUUGAAGUUUCUUACUGAGAAGCAUUGCUGUCUGUAUGCCAAAUAGUUCUGUAUUGCAACUUUUCAAAAAAUAUAAUAGACCUUAGCAUAUCAUGCCAUUCAUACUGUGGAGUGAUUGGGACAUUGUCCCAAGUACAUUUACAAUGAAUAACCAAUUAAUAACUAAUCUAAUUUGUUUUCAUAUUGAUUAUUUGCAUUGACAUAAAAAAACAAAAACCUGGAGGGUGUUACAGCAGGGGGAGAAUUUAAAGUGAGAUGAGGAACUCGAUGAAGGGGAGAAAAUAAAGUGGACAGGAGUGAAGAAGAGACAAAUUGUCAAUUGUUCCCUAGUACACUAUUUAUCGUACAGUACCAAUCCCAGUAUAUUCAGUAUACCUGUCCCCAAUAAAGUCCUCCACUCCAACACUCCAACUCAUGAAGUCUUCUCCCUAUCAUCAAGACAUCUUUCACAUAGCACAGGUUUCACCCUCAUCUCUAGUUAGUGAUAAAAGGAUUGCUGGAGAGGCCGUCGAAGGAUACAGAUGUGGAUACAAGCAAAAAAAAAAAAUAAUAAAACAAGGGGCAAAUUAGAGUUAUAAAGAGUUUUGAGUGAGAGGUAGGGAUACAUUAGGGGGCAUAGCACUGGAUAAUUCCGUAAGGGGCAACAUUUUUGGAUGAGCCCUGUUUGCUCUCCUUUUGAUUGUAUUCUAGGACUUCCUAUAUAGAAUUUGAUGGUUUAUUUCACGAUCAUGUAAUGAGUCUGAUAUUUUUAAGGAUGUAUAUGUCAUUCACGUAUUUUCUCCUUAAAUUGGAACAGAAAGAGACAGAGGAGUUGCAUUAAAAUCAUUGCUCAAGAAUUAGUUAAUACCCACAUUUUCCUGCCCCAUUUGCGGUGGUAUUGCUGAAGGUUUCAUAUACUGUGUGCACUAUCUUAUUCCUCCCCAGGGAAAAUACGUGUUGACUACAUGAAUCCUGAAAGGCUGUUCAUAUCACAAGGGGUAAUAUUUGGUCAACACGGCAAUAAUGUAAAGGAUUUUCAAGUAUAAUUAGAUGCACAUGAUUAUUCUUUCAAACUAAAAUUAGAAAAGAAAAGGUUAAAAUGUAUAAUCCCAUCUAUGUUUUUCUUCGUAUGUGUUGUUGCUUAUUGCUAAUUAUUCUAACUAGUUAUUCUGCUAUCUUGGCCACAAGAUUAACGGAAAAUCUUUCAAAAAGAAAAAAAAAAAUAAUACGCCAAUGUUUUGCAAAAUAAUUGACAAAAGCUCAAAAGCUAGUGUUUUCUAAAAAAUUUUUUAUGUUUUAAUGAAAGUGUUUUUUCAUGCUUGUCAAGUCAUGCACUCACAUCGUCUUACCAUAAAUUAAUAUAUUUUGCCAAGAAAAGUACAUAGCAUAUUCUUCAUUAAAAUGUUUAUUUUAAUUGCUGCAAUUGCUAAAGGAUUAAAUAUUUAUUGAUAUGAUAAUAUAUUUUAUGAAAGUAUACUGUAUAGUUUGAAUAAUUAUUCAAAGUAUGUUAAAUCGAAAUUAUUUGAUCAGAAAAAUGUUGGAAACACAUUUCCUCAUCUGCCAAUGUUUGGGAAUCAAGCGAGAUUGGGCACUGGAUAUAAAGACCCUUUUCCCCUUUAAAGAGCAAUGUGUAAUGUAUUUUGUUACCACUCAUGUGUUGUAAUAAACAUUUUUUUUUUAAUACAAAACAAUAUAAUAUUUAAA